rnacentral:rRNA from 1 species
UGGGGAAUCUUGCACAAUGGGGGAAACCCUGAUGCAGCGACGCCGCGUGAACGAUGAAGCCCUUCGGGGUGUAAAGUUCUUUCGACAGGAACGAUAAUGAUGGUACCUGGAGAAGAAGCUGCGGCUAACUACGUGCCGGCAGCCGCGGUAAUACGUAGGCAGCGAGCGUUGUUCGGAGUUACUGGGCGUAAAGAGUGCGUAGGUGGCGAGCCAAGUUUGGUGUGAAAUCUCCCGGCUUAACCGGGAGGGUGCGCCGAAAACUGGUUGGCUGGAGUAUGGGAGAGGAAAGCGGAAUUCCUGGUGUAGCGGUGAAAUGCGUAGAUAUCAGGAGGAACACCUGCGGUGUAGACAGCUUUCUGGACCAAAACUGACGCUGAGGCACGAAAGCGUGGGUAGCAAACA